GACGAACGCUGGCGGCGUGCUUAACACAUGCAAGUCGAACGAAGUGGCGAACGGGUGAGUAACGCGUAAUCAACCUGCCCUUCAGAGGGGGACAACAGUUGGAAACGACUGCUAAUACCGCAUACUGAAGGAGGGGAUUGCGUCUGAUUAGCUAGUUGGUGAGGUAACGGCUCACCAAGGCGGUGACGGGUAGCCGGCCUGAGAGGGUGACCGGCCACAUUGGGACUGAGAUACGGCCCAGACUCCUACGGGAGGCAGCAGUGGGGGAUAUUGCACAAUGGGCGAAAGCCUGAUGCAGCGACGCCGCGUGGGGGAUGAAGGCUUUCGGGUUGUAAACCUCUUUCGCUAUCGAACGGGUAGGUGGAGAAGAAGCGCCGGCUAACUACGUGCCAGCAGCCGCGGUAAUUC
rnacentral:rRNA from 1 species